AGUGAACGCUGGCGGUAGGCCUAACACAUGCAAGUCGAACGGCAGCACAGUAAGAGCUUGCUCUUACGGGUGGCGAGUGGCGGACGGGUGAGGAAUACAUCGGAAUCUACUUUUUCGUGGGGGAUAACGUAGGGAAACUUACGCUAAUACCGCAUACGACCUACGGGUGAAAGCAGGGGAUCUUCGGACCUUGCGCGAUUGAAUGAGCCGAUGUCGGAUUAGCUAGUUGGCGGGGUAAAGGCCCACCAAGGCGACGAUCCGUAGCUGGUCUGAGAGGAUGAUCAGCCACACUGGAACUGAGACACGGUCCAGACUCCUACGGGAGGCAGCAGUGGGGAAUAUUGGACAAUGGGCGCAAGCCUGAUCCAGCCAUACCGCGUGGGUGAAGAAGGCCUUCGGGUUGUAAAGCCCUUUUGUUGGGAAAGAAAAGCAGCAGGUUAAUACCCCGUUGUUCUGACGGUACCCAAAGAAUAAGCACCGACUAACUUCGUG
rnacentral:rRNA from 1 species